AUUGAACGCUGGCGGAAUGCUUUACACAUGCAAGUCGAGCGGCAGCGCGGGGGCAACCCUGGCGGCGAGCGGCGGACGGGUGAGUAAAGCAUCGGAACGUAUCCUGGAGUGGGGGAUAACGUAGCGAAAGUUACGCUAAUACCGCAUAUUCUGUGAGCAGGAAAGCAGGGGAUCGCAAGACCUUGCGCUCUGGGAGCGGCCGAUGUCGGAUUAGCUAGUUGGUGGGUAAAGCCUACAAGGCGACGAUCCGUAGCGGGUCUGAGAGGAUGAUCCGCCACACUGGGACUGAGACACGGCCCAGACUCCUACGGGAGGCAGCAGUGGGAAUUUGGACAAUGGGCGGAAGCCUGAUCCAGCCAUGCCGCGUGAGU
rnacentral:rRNA from 1 species